rnacentral:rRNA from 1 species
GAGGGAUCAUUACACAAUAAAAUACGAAGGCCGUUCGCGGCUGGACUAUUUAUUACCCUUGUCUUUUGCGCACUUGUUGUUUCCUGGGCGGGUUCGCUCGCCACCAGGACCACAAUAUAAACCUUUUUUAUGCAGUUGCAAUCAGCGUCAGUAUAACAAAUGUAAAUCAUUUACAACUUUCAACAACGGAUCUCUUGGUUCUGGCAUCGAUGAAGAACGCAGCGAAAUGCGAUACGUAGUGUGAAUUGCAGAAUUCAGUGAAUCAUCGAAUCUUUGAACGCACAUUGCGCCCUUUGGUAUUCCAAAGGGCAUGCCUGUUCGAGCGUCAUUUGUACCCUCAAGCUUUGCUUGGUGUUGGGCGUUUUUGUCUUUGGCCCGCCAAAGACUCGCCUUAAAAUGAUUGGCAGCCGGCCUACUGGUUUCGCAGCGCAGCACAUUUUUGCGCUUGCAAUCAGCAAAAGAGGACGGCAAUCCAUCAAGACUCCUUCUCACGUUGACCUCGAUCAGUAGG